UACGUAGGGGGCAAGCGUUGUCCGGAUUUAUUGGGCGUAAAGAGCGUGUAGGCGGCCUGGUAGGUCAGCUGUGAAAACUCGAGGCUCAACCUCGAGAUGUCGGCGGAAACCAUCUGGCUAGAGUCCGGAAGAGGAGAGUGGAAUCCUGGUGUAGCGGUGAAAUGCGCAGAUAUCAGGAAGAACACCCGUGGCGAAGGCGGCUCUCUGGGACGGUACUGACGCUGAGACGCGAAAGCGUGGGAGCGAACAGG
rnacentral:rRNA from 1 species